GACGAACGCUGGCGGCGUGCUUAACACAUGCAAGUCGAACGGAAAGGCCCUGCUUUUGUGGGGUGCUCGAGUGGCGAACGGGUGAGUAACACGUAAGUAACCUGCCCUUGACUUUGGGAUAACUUCAGGAGACUGGGGCUAAUACCGGAUAGGAGCUCCUGCUGCAUGGUGGGGGUUGGAAAGUUUCGGCGGUUGGGGAUGGACUCGCGGCUUAUCAGCUUGUUGGUGGGGUAGUGGCUUACCAAGGCUUUGACGGGUAGCCGGCCUGAGAGGGUGACCGGCCACAUUGGGACUGAGAUACGGCCCAGACUCCUACGGGAGGCAGCAGUGGGGAAUAUUGCACAAUGGGCGGAAGCCUGAUGCAGCAACGCCGCGUGCGGGAUGACGGCCUUCGGGUUGUAAACCGCUUUCGCCUGUGACGAAGCGUGAGUGACGGUAAUGGGUAAAGAAGCACCGGCUAACUACGUG
rnacentral:rRNA from 1 species